AUUGAACGCUGGCGGCGUGCCUAACACAUGCAAGUCGAGCGGUAACAGGUGUAGCAAUACAUGCUGACGAGCGGCGGACGGGUGAGUAACGCUUGGGAAUCUGCCUAUUAGUGGGGACGAACCCGGGAACGUACGGCGUAAUACGCAUACGCUCUACGAGGAAGACCGGGACCGGCAAGGACCUGCGCUAAUAGAUGAGCCCAAGUCGGAUUAGCUAGUUGGUAGGGGUAAGUGGCCGUA
rnacentral:rRNA from 1 species